UCAUUUUUUUUAUUUAUUAAAGGCCCUUUUGUGAAUGCCUGCCUAUGCCAAAUCUAAAUAUUAGUAAAAUGUAUGAUUAAUAAUUUAGCCUUAAAUAAAAUGAUCCAGAUGAUGACCUUUCACCUGACGACGACCUCAUCCGGGACUAUUCCUCACGCCGCACGGCCGCAGCACGCGCAUUUUUUAAUUACCGGAAGAUAUCUUCAACACCGCGACCGCGGCAGCUGCAAAGACCACUAUUCAGAGAUGCUUUAAAGGAGGAGAUAAUUCCAAAUGGGAAAUAUUGCAUGCCUUCCAUUGCCUGACAGUCCCAGAGAACUGGAAAACAGCUAGCAUUCCAACAGCAGCACUCCAAGCUGUGAAGAAACUGUGCCAGUUCUACAAUAUUGAAGAUGAAGACAAAUUGCAGACAGAAUUGAAGGUCUUCCAUACGUCAUACUCAUGCCCACCACCAGCCAAUGUGUCCUCUAUUCUGUCAGUGGUCAAGGAAACCAAUGCACAUCUAGUUUUCCCCAACAUGACUCUGCUGCUGAAGACAUAUGGCACACUUCCGGUGUCCACAGCAACUGUGGAACGUUCCUUCUCAAAACUGAAGCUUGUGAAAACCAAACUUCGCAGCCUUUGCAAAGAGGAGAGAUUGUCUGACCUUCUUCUGUUGGCCAUUGAGAAGGACAUUCCAAUAAAUGACAAUAAUGUCAUUAACAUUUUUAGGGACAUGGCCAACAGGAAAUUUCUGUUAUAAAAGUCUACAACAACUCAUCAACACUUAUUGCUCUUGGUGUGCAGCAGCCUCUGUGAGCAUCUCCCUCUUAUUUUCUUGGAGCAGUCAGCCUUGGCAGUCUCUCAGAUCAACUCCAGUAUUAGCAGCAGCAACAACAACAGCAAAGGCAGCAUACUCACUCAAGGAAUUUAGUAAGAUUUUACCAGAACAGGUAUCACAUUAAUGUACAAAAUCUGUUGUAUUUGCUGUAAAAUAAAAUUGCUGUAUUUUUUCUGUUUGCUUUGUUUUUGUUUUUAUUAUAUUAAUGGAACUCUUGUAUUUUUGUAAUUCAGUUUUUGCCAUCAAAAUAGCCACAAAUGCUGACAUGGCAUUAAAUAAAACUAUACUCUA